rnacentral:rRNA from 1 species
GGUCCCGCCUGCCCUGUGACUAUAUGUUUAACGGCCGCGGUAUUUUGACCGUGCGAAGGUAGCGCAAUCACUUGUCUUUUAAAUGGGGACCUGUAUGAAUGGCAUAACGAGGGCUUGACUGUCUCCUCUUUCAAGUCAAUGAAAUUGAUCUCCCCGUGCAGAAGCGGGGAUAAACACAUAAGACGAGAAGACCCUAUGGAGCUUUAGACACUAAAGCAGAUCAGCAUUAAUACCCUGAACAUAGGGCACGAAUAUACUGAGCCCUGCCCUAAUGUCUUAGGUUGGGGCGACCGCGGAGAAAUAAAAAACCCCCGCAAGGACCGAAUGUACUACAUUCACAACCAAGAGCGACAGCUCUAAUUAACAGAUAUUUCUGACCAAUAAGAUCCGGCAACGCCGAUUAAUGAACCAAGUUACCCUAGGGAUAACAGCGCAAUCUCCUCUUAGAGCCCGUAUCAACGAGGAGGUUUACGACCUCGAUGUUGGAUCAGGACAUCCUAAUGGUGCAGCCGCUAUUAAGGGUUCGUUUGUUCAACGAUUAAAGUCCUACG